rnacentral:rRNA from 1 species
GAUGAACGCUGGCGGCGUGCCUAAUACAUGCAAGUCGAGCGAACAGAUGAGGAGCUUGCUCCUCUGACGUUAGCGGCGGACGGGUGAGUAACACGUGGAUAACCUACCUAUAAGACUGGGAUAACUUCGGGAAACCGGAGCUAAUACCGGAUAAUAUAUUGAACCGCAUGGUUCAAUAGUGAAAGACGGUUUUGCUGUCACUUAUAGAUGGAUCCGCGCCGCAUUAGCUAGUUGGUAAGGUAACGGCUUACCAAGGCAACGAUGCGUAGCCGACCUGAGAGGGUGAUCGGCCACACUGGAACUGAGACACGGUCCAGACUCCUACGGGAGGCAGCAGUAGGGAAUCUUCCGCAUUGGGCGAAAGCUUGACGGAGCAACGCCGCGUGAGUGAUGAAGGUCUUCGGAUCGUAAAACUCUGUUAUUAGGGAAGAACAAAUGUGUAAGUAACUAUGCACGUCUUGACGGUACCUAAUCAGAAAGCCACGGCUAACUACGUG